rnacentral:rRNA from 1 species
GACGAACCGUGCGAACGUUGUUCGGAAUCAUUGGGCUUAAAGGGCGCGUAGGCGGCCACCGCAAGUCGACUGUGAAAUCUCCGGGCUUAACCCGGAAAGGUCAGCCGAUACUGCGGGGCUAGAGUGCAGAAGGGGCAACUGGAAUUCUCGGUGUAGCGGUGAAAUGCGUAGAUAUUCGAGAGGAACACCUGCGGCGAAGGCGGGUUGCUGGGCCGACACUGACGCUGAUGCGCGAAAGCCAGGGGAGCGAACGGG